UGGGGAAUCUUAGACAAUGGGCGCAAGCCUGAUCUAGCCAUGCCGCGUGAGUGAUGAAGGCCUUAGGGUCGUAAAGCUCUUUCGCCUGUGAAGAUAAUGACUGUAGCAGGUAAAGAAACCCCGGCUAACUCCGUGCCAGCAGCCGCGGUAAUACGGAGGGGGUUAGCGUUGUUCGGAAUUACUGGGCGUAAAGCGCGCGUAGGCGGACAUUUAAGUCAGAGGUGAAAUCCCAGGGCUCAACCCUGGAACUGCCUUUGAUACUGGGUGUCUUGAGUUCGAGAGAGGUGAGUGGAAUUCCGAGUGUAGAGGUGAAAUUCGUAGAUAUUCGGAGGAACACCAGUGGCGAAGGCGGCUCACUGGCUCGAUACUGACGCUGAGGUGCGAAAGUGUGGGGAGCAAACAGGAUUAGAUACCCUGGUAGUCCACACCGUAAACGAUGAAUGCCAGUCGUCGGGCAGUAUACUGUUCGGUGACACACCUAACGGAUUAAGCAUUCCGCCUGGGGAGUACGGUCGCAAGAUUA
rnacentral:rRNA from 3 species